AUGAACGCUGGCGGCGUGCCUAAUACAUGCAAGUCGAGCGAACAGACGAGGAGCUUGCUCCUCUGACGUUAGCGGCGGACGGGUGAGUAACACGUGGAUAACCUACCUAUAAGACUGGGAUAACUUCGGGAAACCGGAGCUAAUACCGGAUAAUAUAUUGAACCGCAUGGUUCAAUAGUGAAAGACGGUUUUGCUGUCACUUAUAGAUGGAUCCGCGCCGCAUUAGCUAGUUGGUAAGGUAACGGGUUACCAAGGCGACGAUGCGUAGCCGACCUGAGAGGGUGAUCGGCCACACUGGAACUGAGACACGGUCCAGACUCCUACGGGAGGCAGCAGUAGGGAAUCUUCCGCAAUGGGCGAAAGCCUGACGGAGCAACGCCGCGUGAGUGAUGAAGGUCUUCGGAUCGUAAAACUCUGUUAUUAGGGAAGAACAAAUGUGUAAGUAACUAUGCACGUCUUGACGGUACCUAAUCAGAAAGCCACGGCUAACUACGUG
rnacentral:rRNA from 1 species